UACGGGGGGAGCAAGGCGUUGUUCGGAAUCACUGGGCGUAAAGGGAGUGUAGGCGGUUCGGUAAGUGGGAUGGUGAAAUGCCCGGGCUCACCCCGGGACCUGCAUCCCAUACUGCUGAGCUUGAGUACAGGAGAGGGUGGGGGAAUUCCUGGUGUAGCGGUGAAAUGCGUAGAUAUCAGGAGGAACACCGGUGGCGAAGGCGCCCACCCUGGCCUGCUACUGACGCUGAAACUCGAAAGCUAGGGGAGCGAAUGGG
rnacentral:rRNA from 1 species